rnacentral:rRNA from 1 species
CAGUCGAACGAAACUUCUUUAUCACCGAGUGCUUGCACUCACCGAUACAGAGUUGAGUGGCGAACGGGUGAGUAACACGUGGGCAACCUGCCCAAAAGAGGGGGAUAACACUUGGAAACAGGUGCUAAUACCGCAUAACCAUAGUUACCGCAUGGUAACUAUGUAAAAGGUGGCUAUGCUACCGCUUUUGGAUGGGCCCGCGGCGCAUUAGCUAGUUGGUGGGGUAAAGGCUUACCAAGGCAAUGAUGCGUAGCCGAACUGAGAGGUUGAUCGGCCACAUUGGGACUGAGACACGGCCCAAACUCCUACGGGAGGCAGCAGUAGGGAAUCUUCCACAAUGGGCGAAAGCCUGAUGGAGCAACGCCGCGUGGGUGAAGAAGGUCUUCGGAUCGUAAAACCCUGUUGUUAGAGAAGAAAGUGCGUGAGAGUAACUGUUCACGUUUCGACGGUAUCUAACCAGAAAGCCACGGCUAACUACGUGCCAGCAGCCGCGGUAAUACGUAGGUGGCAAGCGUUAUCCGGAUUCACUGGGCGUAAAGGGAGCGCAGGCGGCACGGCAAGUCUGGUGUGAAAACCCGGGGCUCAACCCCGGGACUGCAUUGGAAACUGCCGGGCUGGAGUGUCGGAGGGGUAAGCGGAAUUCCUAGUGUAGCGGUGAAAUGCGUAGAUAUUAGGAGGAACACCAGUGGCGAAGGCGGCUUACUGGACGAUGACUGACGCUGAGGCUCGAAAGCGUGGGGAGCAAACAG